rnacentral:misc_RNA from 1 species
GAUGAAGAACGUAGCGAAAUGCGAUACUUGGUGUGAAUUGCAGAAUCCCGUGAACCAUCGAGUCUUUGAACGCAAGUUGCGCCCGAAGCCAUUAGGCCGAGGGCACGCCUGCCUGGGCGUCACACGUCGUUGCCCCCCCCAUCUACUCCUUCGGGAUUGCGGGGGGCGGAUGAUGGCCUCCCGUGCGCCUCGCCGCGCGGUUGGCAUAAAUGCCAAGUCCUCGGCGACGCACGCCACGACAAUCGGUGGUUGCGAAACCUCGGUUGCCCGUCGUGUGCGGUCGUCGCGCAUCGAGGGCUCGAAAAAAUUGCCGAGUUCCGGCUCGGCUUUCAACGCGACCCCAUGUCAGGCGGGGUUACCCGCUGAAUUUAAGCAUAUCAAUAAGCGGAGGA